rnacentral:rRNA from 1 species
UACGUAGGGUGCGAGCGUUGUCCGGAAUUAUUGGGCGUAAAGAGCUCGUAGGCGGUGUGUCACGUCGGCCGUGAAAACCUGCAGCUUAACUGUGGGCGUGCGGUCGAUACGGGCAUCACUGGAGUUCGGCAGGGGAGACUGGAAUUCCUGGUGUAGCGGUGAAAUGCGCAGAUAUCAGGAGGAACACCGGUGGCGAAGGCGGCCCUCUGGACGGAUACUGACGCUGAGACGCGAAAGCGUGGGGAGCAAACAGG